rnacentral:lncRNA from 1 species
CUUUUAAAACACUGAUAUUUAAGUAAUAAUUCAAUUAUCUACAACUAUAUUAUUUGGUUGGUGUGGAAGCCAGACUUGUGGCCAGGGGGAGGCUUAAAUGCCUCUGCGAGUCUUCCCGGGCCUUGGAAGGGAUGAAUAAUCAUGACUUACCACCAGUUGUCAUUUUUUUAUAAAAUAAAAAAUAAUUAAAAAAAAACUAUAUUAUUUGGUUUACAAAAUUUAAUUUAUAAUUUUGGCCUCCCUAACAUAAUGUUAAAUAAGCAAUGUGUUAUUUUGUAGUACAAGGAGAAAAAUUGGUGAAAAUAAAAAAAUGGGUGGGUGUUGAAUCCACAAUGGAUGCCAAUUCAAUAAAAAGUCGUCCGUGAUAAUAAAAAAAUACAGAAAAAAAAAAUAUUUUUCAAAAAUAUUAUGUUUGACACUAAAAUUAAAAAGUGAUUAUGCAUACACUGUGUGUGAAAAUUUUUAAAAUUUUAUAGGAGCAAUAAGGAGGUAAAUGUGGGUUAAUUUAGUUUUUAUUGAAUUUUUUUUUUCAUUUUUGAGGGAGAAGAGAUAAAGAAAACGUUGAAUUUUAUAGAGAGAUGAUUUGAAAACAAUAAAAUUCUUUUUAUAUGAAAUUAUUUUAAUGUCUAUGAUUUUUUUCAUUUUGAUUUUUUAUUGAAUUGUGAAUAGAAUAUUAAAUUGUCUUUUUACCCUCUAUUAAUUAACUUAGAGAAUUUUAUUAAUGGAUGGGAUAGACUUUUUUGGAUAUGGCAUUAAAAAAGGAGAAUCAAUGAUUCAAUGAAUAUGGCGGCUUUAAUAUUUCAAUCUCAUUAUGUAAUAUUAGACUAGAUUUAAGGUUAAAAAAUUGAGAAGUGUUAUUAGCACUCAAAAAAAUCUCAUUUUACUAUCCUCAUAAGUGUAUUUUUUUUUUCCAAAUAUAGAAAGUUUGGAAUGUAUAAUAAAAAUUUUGGAGUGCCAAUAACAAUUCCCAAAAAAAUAUGCAUUUCUUAAUCACCAUAUGAUUAAGAUAAACAUUCAAACGUUUCAUAACCUUUGUUAAUAAACUAUUUGGAGAAAUCAUCUUUCCAUUGUCUUUUCUCUCUGUACUUCUCAAACAUUUUUUUUUGUAAACUAUUAUUGGUAUAUAAAAAAUCUAAUAGUGCAUUUUUUUAAUUGGAGUGGUACUAAUAAUUCCUUCUUUUUUUUAUGCUGUCCAACAUUCGGUAAGUGUUCUUAUAAUUUUAAAGUAGUGUAUAUGCGCGUGUUCUUUCGUAG